rfam:Pteropus alecto contig46019, whole genome shotgun sequence.
GUCUAUGGCCAUGCCACCCUGAACACGCCAGAUCCCAUCUGAUCUCAGAAGCUAAGCAAGGUUGGGCCUGGUUAGUACUUGGAUGGGAGACUACCUAGGAAGACCAGGUGCUGUAGGCG